rnacentral:rRNA from 1 species
UACGAGAGGUGCUAGCGUUAUUCGGAAUUAUUGGGCGUAAAGGGCGCGUAGGCGGUUUAUUAAGUUUGUUGUUAAAGCCUCUGGCUUAACCAGAGAAGAGCGAUAAAAACUGAUAAACUAGAGGGUGAGAGAGAGAAGUGGAAUUCCCGGAGUAGCGGUAAAAUGCGUAGAUCUCGGGAGGAACACCAAUGGCGAAGGCUGCUUCUUGGCUCACAACUGACGCUGAGGCGCGAAAGCGUGGGGAGCAAAC